rnacentral:miRNA from 1 species
UUUGGCACUAGCACAUUUUUGUU